rnacentral:rRNA from 1 species
UACGUAGGGUGCAAGCGUUGUCCGGAAUUAUUGGGCGUAAAGAGCUCGUAGGCGGUUUGUCGCGUCUGCUGUGAAAACUCAGGGCUUAACCCUGAGCCUGCAGUGGGGUACGGGCAGACUAGAGUGUGGUAGGGGAGAUCGGAAUUCCUGGUGUAGCGGUGAAAUGCGCAGAUAUCAGGAGGAACACCGGUGGCGAAGGCGGGGUC